CAAAUACUUCUUUAUCCAGAAACACAUUAGGUAUUGGGGGCUGCAAGGCACUUGCAGUUGAAUUUGGAAAAGCAUUUCAAAGUGACCAAGCGACAGAAUGCAGGCUCAGUCACAGACUUAGCAGCUCUUAGAGUGCAGCCUUCAGGUUUGAAAUUCCCUGGCCAUGCUGAUCCCUGUUCCCACGUGCACACCUAUUCCUGCCCUUUCUUCUCCACUGUCAGAGCAGAAUGGCUUCCUCCAAUAUGGCUCCCUCCCAGACUCCUUGCCAGCGGACUAUCAGUUCUGGAGUCUGGAUUCUCCAAAAGAUCUUUUCCUAGGUCAGGCUGUGGUGGCACCAGCUUUUCUCCUUAUCAGUCAUAUCAAUUCUUGAUUUAAUCACCUGCCAAUCAUACCUCACUCUCCUAGCUGGGUUUUAGUUUAAAGUAGAAAAACCCAUCUGUUCAGUUCCACAGAUCACAAUUUCUAAUUUGAAAGUAGUGAUUCAGCAUAAAAUCCAUGUCAAAAAACAAACAAACAGAAAAAGGGGAAAAAAAA
rnacentral:lncRNA from 1 species